rnacentral:sRNA from 1 species
AGGAAAGAAGGGACGAACGCGUGAAUAGGGGCGGAGGGAGGAAUUUAUACAUAGGUUAUGACAUUCGGGCAACCUUUAAUGAAUGAACGUUACGACCCCCUUUUUGUUUUCUAUUCUUAUCUUUUUCUUUUUUUUUCCCUUCUGCAGUUCUCUCUCUCUCUCUCUCUCUUUUUUUUUUUUUUUUUUUUUUUUUUUUGCUUUGCAUGCUGUCAAUGGUUAUUUUGGGUUUUAUUCCCCCCUUGUUUUUCUUUUAGCCGCUACCCGCCUUUUAUUAUUUUGACAGCAUUCUCCUUGAUGUGACGAUGAAAGCGGGAACAUGUAAAUUGUAAUUUAUAACAUCAGUGAAUGUCUUUUAUUCACUGUCUGCAGUCUUGUUGCAAAAUGCAUCUUGAUCUUUUCAAGAGUCAUUAUCACUGAUGAGAGUUCAGCAUUCUGAUAGAGAAUUGUGAUUGAUGUUGUGU